rnacentral:rRNA from 1 species
GAUGAACGCUAGCUACAGGCUUAACACAUGCAAGUCGCGGGGCAGCAUGGGGGUUGCUUGCAACUCCCGAUGGCGACCGGCGCACGGGUGAGUAACGCGUAUCCAACCUGCCCUUCACCACGGGAUAACCCGGCGAAAGUCGGACUAAUACCGUAUGUUGUCCAUUGACGGCAUCCGAUUUGGACGAAAGGCUUUGCGGUGAAGGAUGGGGAUGCGUCCGCUUGGCCCGACGGCGGGGUAACGGCCCACCGUGGCUACGAUCGGUAGGGGUUCUGAGAGGAAGGUCCCCCACACUGGAACUGAGACACGGUCCAGACUCCUACGGGAGGCAGCAGUGAGGAAUAUUGGUCAAUGGGCGUAAGCCUGAACCAGCCAAGUAGCGUGCAGGAUGACGGCCCUAUGGGUUGUAAACUGCUUUUAUGCGGGGAUAAAGUGGCCCACGUGUGGGCUUUUGCAGGUACCGCAUGAAUAAGGACCGGCUAAUUCCGUG